rnacentral:rRNA from 1 species
ACGGAGGGUGCAAGCGUUGUCCGGAAUCAUUGGGCGUAAAGAGUUCGUAGGUGGUAUGUUAAGUCUGGUGUUAAAGCCCGAAGCUCAACUUCGGUUCGGCACUGGAUACUGGCAAACAUGAAUGUGGUAGAGGUAAAGGGAAUUCCUGGUGUAGCGUUGAAAUGCGUAGAUAUCAAGAGGAACACCGGUGGCGAAAGAGGUUAACGGGGCCAUUAUUGACACUGAGGAACGAAAGCCGGGGUAGCAAAUGG